UUCAUAUGUGUGUAUUUCUGUGAAGUAAAGUAACUGAAAAUAAGUUUAAGUUCUGUGCUUCGGGAUAUAAAAGUUCGUUUAUACUUUUUAAAUUAAAGAACAUUUUAUGGACAAAAUCAAAUUUUGUAAUGUGUAAAAAGGAGGGUGCAUCCAAACAGCUAUGCGUCAUAUGAGGCCAUGAAAUCAAAAUUGGCAAAAAAGGAAGAGAAUAAAUCAUCAGAGCCUAAGCGAGCAAAUUUCUUCUGUUUCCAAAGCUCAAGCCAGGUAGCUGAACAACAAAAUUUGCGUUCGGUUAUUAUUUGAAGAAAUAAAUAUGAAUUGUUAUUUUAAUUUUAAAAAGUACCGAAUAAAAAAUUUAAAAAUU